rnacentral:rRNA from 1 species
UACGGAGGAUGCAAGCGUUAUCCGGAUUUAUUGGGUUUAAAGGGUGCGCAGGUUGGUUGAUAAGUCAGUGGUGAAAGUCUGUCGCUUAACGGUAGGAUUGCCAUUGAUACUGUUGGACUUGAAUAUGGAUGAGGUAGGCGGAAUGUGUAGUGUAGCGGUGAAAUGCAUAGAUAUUACACAGAACACCGAUUGCGAAGGCAGCUUACUAAUCCAUCAUUGACGCUGAGGCACGAAAGCGUGGGGAGUCAAACA